GACAUAGCCAUUUUAUAUUACUUCUUUAACAUUUCUUGUUAGGCUCCAGACGGUGGUAGCAAAGAGCAGCGUGCAGCUGCUCAUGCUCACACAGCCCUGCGGCUGAUGGAGAUCUACCGGAUGUUUGGCCACCUGCAGCAGCAGGGUGUUCCAGUUCUUGGUUCUCCCCAGAUGCCUUUUCUUUUAGGGAUUCACGUUCGACAACAACCCACUGCUGCCCCCUAGAGGAGAUGGCUCUGUCAAGGAAGCAAUACCCCAUUCUGGAGGAUUCUAUGGCAACCGGGUGGUGCCUGCAGUCCCGCUGAAGUCAGACGAGGCAGAUGAGGCAGAAGAGGCAGAAGGCGGAGAAUCCCCUGCAGGUGACCCCGCUGAUGACUCCACCGCCACUGAUGCAACAUUAAAUGAUCCUGUUCUGUCUUUUCUAUGAGUGACACAGCCUGAGCUCCUGCCUCCUGUAGCUCUGACAAAAGAGGCACAGAAUUGAGAUCAAGGCCACACUCAUGUGUACUAAUAAUGCCAAGAGAGGUGGAGUUCAUAUAAUGAAAAGGGGCUACAUGGUUGGAACAGAAGAGCAUGUUAUGUUUAAUGGGAGAAUUGGGGAGGGGGAUUAAAGUUUGAAUGAUUCUUGUGCACCUCAGUGCAAUCAAUAUAAGAAACAAACCUUUGUGACCGAGGCUGUCUCAUGAUUGUUUUUUUUUUUUCUCUCUCUCUUGUGUCUUGACUUAUUUUUCA